rfam:Myotis brandtii contig308511, whole genome shotgun sequence.
UUUAGAAACAGUAGGCAGACACAACAUUUUUUCUGUCGCAAGGCAGGAUUUCCAAUUCCUUUUUUUCACUCUUUUCUUGUCAUCUAAAGCUCCUUGUAAGCUAAGCUUAUCAAGAUUUCACCCAAUUACUUUUUCUCUAAGGCCUGGAAGAGUUAAGACCCUACACCAAGGUGUUCAUCUUAGAAGCUCACAAAC